rnacentral:piRNA from 1 species
AAUAAACUAUACAGUAACAAUGA